rnacentral:tRNA from 1 species
GCCGAAGUGGUGGAACUGGUAGACACGCCAUCUUGAGGGGGUGGUGGCCAUCCGGCCGUGCGAGUUCGAGUCUCGCCUUCGGCA